GUGGUUGUGGCGAAAUUUGGUAGACGCGUAACAUUAAGGAUGUUAUUUUUGAAGGUUCGAGUCCUUCCAAUCACA
rnacentral:tRNA from 1 species